UGCGUAGGCGGCUGGAUAAGUCGCGUGUGAAAGCCCGGGGCUCAACCCCGGAGCUGCAUGCGAGACUGCCUGGCUCGAGCACGGUAGAGGCGGGCGGAAUUCCUGGUGUAGCGGUGGAAUGCGUAGAUAUCAGGAAGAACACCGGUGGCGAAGGCGGCUCGCUGGGCCGUUGCUGACGCUGAGGCACGAAAGCGUGGGGAGCAAACAGGAUUAGAUACCCUGGUAGUCCACGCCCUAAACGAUGGACACUAGGCGUCGGGGGGAGCGACCCUCCCGGUGCCGUCGCUAACGCAAUAAGUGUCCCGCCUGGGGAGUACGGCCGCAAGGCUGAA
rnacentral:rRNA from 1 species